GGUGAAUUUGACCAGGGCUAAAUUGAACUUUUUCCUCGAUUUCCCAUUGGAAUGGGUGGGUGCAUGGGUCGCACUUUAGUUGGGUGCCAGUGAUUUUGUCAGGUUUUAUUUCCCGGUAACGAACGAGACCUCGGCCUUGUUAAAUAGCUAUGCUGCUUACAGGGACAUUGGCGGCUACGCCAAGGAAGCUCGAGGCAAUUGCAGAUCUGGAAUGCCCUUAGAUGUCCUGGGUCGCACGCGUGCUACAAUGACGCCACGAACGAGCUUGCGUGAUGAAAGUUACGCAUAAUCAGCAGUCGGCGUCUUAAGGGAUAGUCUCUUGUAACUGUGGGACUCCAACUAGGAAUGUCUCGUAAGCACAAGUCAACAUCUUGUGUUGAUUACGUCCUGCUCUUUGUACACACCGCCCGUCGCUCCUACCGAUCGAGUGUUUAGGUGAAUUGAUGGACGUAAGGAAGUCAAAUAAACUGAGCACUAGACGAACGAGACUCGAUAAUGUU
rnacentral:rRNA from 1 species